GUUCGGGGUACACGAGUGGCGAACGGGUGAGUAACACGUGGGUGAUCUGCCCUGCACUUCGGGAUAAGCUUGGGAAACUGGGUCUAAUACCGGAUAGGACCACGGUCUGCAUGGAUUGUGGUGGAAAGCUUUUGCGGUGUGGGAUGGGCCCGCGGCCUAUCAGCUUGUUGGUGGGGUGAUGGCCUACCAAGGCGACGACGGGUAGCCGGCCUGAGAGGGUGUCCGGCCACACUGGGACUGAGAUACGGCCCAGACUCCUACGGGGAGGCAGCAGGUGGGGAAUAUUGCAACAAGUUGGGCCGCAAGCCUGAUGCAGCGACGCCGCGUGGGGGAUGACGGCCUUCGGGUUGUAAACCUCUUUCAGCAGGGACGAAGGGUGACUGACGGUACCUGUAGAAGAAGCACCGGCCAACUACGUG
rnacentral:rRNA from 1 species